rnacentral:rRNA from 1 species
AAGCGCACGCAGGCGGUCUGUCAAGUCGGAUGUGAAAUCCCCGGGCUCAACCUGGGAACUGCAUUCGAAACUGGCAGGCUAGGGUCUUGUAGAGGGGGGUAGAAUUCCAGGUGUAGCGGUGAAAUGCGUAGAGAUCUGGAGGAAUACCGGUGGCGAAGGCGGCCCCCUGGACAAAGACUGACGCUCAGGUGCGAAAGCGUGGGGAGCAAACAGGAUUAGAUACCCUGGUAGUCCACGCCGUAAACGAUGUCGACUUGGAGGUUGUUCCCUUGAGGAGUGGCUUCCGGAGCUAACGCGUUAAGUCGACCGCCUGGGGAGUACGGCCGCAAGGUUAAAACUCAAAUGAAUUGACGGGGGCCCGCACAAGCGGUGGAGCAUGUGGUUUAAUUCGAUGCAACGCGAAGAACCUUACCUACUCUUGACAUCCAGAGAAUUUAGCAGAGAUGCUUUAGUGCCUUCGGGAACUCUGAGACAGGUGCUGCAUGGCUGUCGUCAGCUCGUGUUGUGAAAUGUUGGGUUAAGUCCCGCAACGAGCGCAACCCUUAUCCUUUGUUGCCAGCGGUUCGGCCGGGAACUCAAAGGAGACUGCCAGUGAUAAACUGGAGGAAGGUGGGGAUGACGUCAAGUCGUCAUGGCCCUUACGAGUAGGGCUACACACGUGCUACAAUGGCAUAUACAAAGAGAAGCGACCUCGCGAGAGCAAGCGGACCUCAUAAAGUAUGUCGUAGUCCGGAUCGGAGUCUGCAACUCGACUCCGUGAAGUCGGAAUCGCUAGUAAUCG